GAUUAGCGCUGGCGGCGUGCAUAACACAUUCAAGUCGAACGGAAGAGAGUGCUUCGGUACUUUCUUUAGUGGCGGACGGGUGAGUAACGCGUGAGUAAUCUACCUUCCAGUGCGGAAUAACAACCGGAAACAGUUGCUAAUACCGCAUGAAAUGGCAGCAUCGCAUGGUGCAACCAUCAAAGAUUUAUCGCUGGAAGAUGAGCUUGCGUCCGAUUAGAUAGUUGGCGGAGUAACAGCCCACCAAGUCGACGAUCGGUAGCCGGACUGAGAGGUUGAACGGCCACAUUGGAACUGAGAUACGGUCCAGACUCCUACGGGAGGCAGCAGUGGGGAAUAUUGGGCAAUGGGCGAAAGCCUGACCCAGCGACGCCGCGUGAGGGAAGAAGAUCUUCGGAUUGUAAACCUUAGUCAACAGGGAAGAAGAAAGUGACGGUACCUGUGGAGGAAGCCACGGCUAACUACGUGCCAGCCGCCGCGGUAAGAC
rnacentral:rRNA from 1 species